rnacentral:misc_RNA from 1 species
GAUGAAGAACGUAGCGAAAUGCGAUAAGUAAUGUGAAUUGCAGAAUUCAGUGAAUCAUCGAAUCUUUGAACGCACAUUGCGCCCGCCAGUAUUCUGGCGGGCAUGCCUGUUCGAGCGUCAUUUCAACCAUCAAGCCCCCGGCUUGUGUUGGGGACCUGCGGCUGCCGCAGGCCCUGAAAAGCAGUGGCGGGCUCGCUGUCACACCGAGCGUAGUAGCAUACAUCUCGCUCUGGGCGUGCUGCGGGUUCCGGCCGUUAAACCACCUUCAUAACCCAAGGUUGACCUCGGAUCAGGUAGGAAGACCCGCUGAACUUAAGCAUAUCAAUAAGGGAGGA